ACUGCAGUCGAGCGGGGGAAGGUAGCUUGCUACCGGACCUAGCGGCGGACGGGUGNNUANNGCUUAGGAAUCUGCCUAUUAGUGGGGGACAACAUCUCGAAAGGGAUGCUAAUACCGCAUACGUCCUACGGGAGAAAGCAGGGGAUCUUCGGACCUUGCGCUAAUAGAUGAGCCUAAGUCGGAUUAGCUAGUUGGUGGGGUAAAGGCCUACCAAGGCGACGAUCUGUAGCGGGUCUGAGAGGAUGAUCCGCCACACUGGGACUGAGACACGGCCCAGACUCCUACGGGAGGCAGCAGUGGGGAAUAUUGGACAAUGGGCGCAAGCCUGAUCCAGCCAUGCCGCGUGUGUGAAGAAGGCCUUAUGGUUGUAAAGCACUUUAAGCGAGGAGGAGGCUACUUUAGAUAAUACCUAGAGAUAGUGGACGUUACUCGCAGAAUAAGCACCGGCUAACUCUGUGCCAGCAGCCGCGGUAAUACAGAGGGUGCAAGCGUUAAUCGGAUUUACUGGGCGUAAAGCGCGCGUAGGCGGCUAAUUAAGUCAAAUGUGAAAUCCCCGAGCUUAACUUGGGAAUUGCAUUCGAUACUGGUUAGCUAGAGUGUGGGAGAGGAUGGUAGAAUUCCAGGUGUAGCGGUGAAAUGCGUAGAGAUCUGGAGGAAUACCGAUGGCGAANGNAGCCAUCUGGCCUAACACUGACGCUGAGGUGCGAAAGCAUGGGGAGCAAACAGGAUUAGAUACCCUGGUAGUCCAUGCCGUAAACGAUGUCUACUAGCCGUUGGGGCCUUUGAGGCUUUAGUGGGCGCAGCUAACGCGAUANUAGACCGCCUGGGGAGUACGGUCGCAAGACUAAAACUCAAAUGAAUUGACGGGGGGCCCGCACNAAGCGGUGGAGCAUGUGGUUUAAUUCAUGCAACGCGAAACCUUACCUGGCCUUGACAUAGUAAGACUUUCCAGAUGGAUUGUGCCUUCG
rnacentral:rRNA from 1 species